rnacentral:rRNA from 1 species
AUUGAACGCUAGCGGGAUGCUUAACACAUGCAAGUCGAACGAGUGGCGGACGGGUGAGUAAUAUAUCGGAACGUGGCCAGUAGCGGGGGAUAACUACGGGAAAGAGUGGCUAAUACCGCAUACUAUAGGAGCGGACGAAGUGGGAUUAGGUAGUUGGUGGGGUAAAGGCUAACCAAGGCAACGAUCCGUAGCUGGUUUGAGAGGAAGACCGGCCAAACGGGGACUGAGACACGGCCCAGACUCCUACGGGAGGCAGCAGUGGGGAAUGUUGGACAAUGGGGGAAACCCGGACCCAGCCAUCCCGCGUGUAUGAGAAGGCCUUCGGGUUGUAAAGUACUUUUGGUAGAGAAGCGGUAUCUGCAGAAGAAGCACCGGCUAACUACGUGCCAGCAGCCGCGGUAAUAC